CACACCGCGCCGCGCCGCGCCGCGCCGCGCGACCAGCUGGCUGUAUCGCCCCACCACCUCGCCCGAGUCGGACCACAAUCCGUGAAUAUGAUUGGCUGCCACGAACCACGCGAGCUCCUCGUUUCCUCUCCGUCGGCAUCGGUGCCUUCUUCUUCCCCCUUUUCCGCAUUAACUGUUAUCGACGCAGAGGCCGACAUUGGCGGUUAACGAGGUCGAGACAAAGUAACGAUCGGUAGCAGCGUGAAUCUAAUGUAUAAUAAUUAAGUCGCCUGACUAUUGACUAUUGUCAUUUAUGCAUCAAUGAAAGAUGAAAAUUGCAUUCUUUUAAUACAAAACGUGAAAAAUU